rnacentral:lncRNA from 1 species
UACAAUAUAUGAAAAUGAUGAAUCAGGAAAUAGAAUGGAAAAUUAAACAAAUGAGACAAAAGACAUUUAAUGUGGGAAAUUGUUGGCCUGGCAAAUGAAAAGAAGACAAAAACUAAACACUAUUAUAAAUCUAGAAGUGGAAGGAAAGAACAUACAGAACCCAGUCGAGAUUAGAAACUGUUUCCAGAGGUACUUUAAACAAUUAUAUACACAAGGGCCACAGAAAGAAAUUGAUAUAGAUCGAUUUUUGAAAAUAAAUGGAUUACAAAAAUCUCUCAAGAAAACAAAUUAAUGUUGAAUUAUAAAAUAACUGAACAGGAGGUAGAAGGUGCCAUUCAGAAUAUGCAAUUAGGUAAAUCUCCAGGACCGGAUGGAUUGACUUCUAGAUACUACAGAUCUUUAAAAGAAUGGUUGGUACAACCUUUAAAGGAAGUCUGUAAUGAAAUAUUGGAUGGGAAAAGGGCACCAGAGUCGUGGAAGGAAGCGUACAUCACACUUAUACCGAAAACAGAGACUGAAAAGAUGCAACUCAAGAACUACCGCCCCAUAUCACUGCUUAAUGUGGAUUAUAAAAUCUUUGCAGAUAUUUUGGCUAAAAGACUAAAAAAAGUGCUAGUGGAAGAGAUUCAUAAAGACCAAACAGGCUUUCUCCCGGGUAGACACUUGUCUGAUAAUAUGAGAAAUAUAAUUAAUAUUUUAGAAAAAUUACAAGUGAAUAUUAAUACCAAGGCAGUUUUGAUAUUUGUGGAUGCGGAGAAAGCUUUUGACAACAUUUCUUGGAGUUUUAUGAAGAAGAACCUACAGGGGAUGGGGGUAGGUCAAGGCUUUGGAAAUGGUAUAAGUGCAAUUUAUUCAGAACAAAAGGCUAAAUUAAUUGUCAAUAACGUGGUGACGGAGGAAUUCAAGAUAGAAAAAGGGACACGACAAGGUUGCCCAAUCUCCCCAUUGCUUUUUAUAUCGGUCCUGGAGGUCCUGUUGAAUAUGAUUAGAAGGGACCAAUUGGUUAAAGGUAUACAAGUCGGAGCUAAACAGUACAAAUUGAGAGCAUUUGCAGAUGACUUAGUAUUGACAUUACAGGAGCCAGAAUCUAGUACUAAAAGAGUCUUGGAACUGAUUCAAGAAUUUGGUCAGGUUGCGGGAUUUAAACUGAAUAAGUUAAAAACAAAGGUCUUAGAGAAAAAUUUAACAGCGAUUGAGAGAGAGAGGUUUCAGAAUGAGACAGGUUUAACAGUGGUUAAGAAAGUGAAAUACCUGGGGAUUAACAUGACAGCUAAAAAUGGGAAUUUAUUUAAAGACAAUUAUGAAAAAUGCUGGACUGAAGUGAAAAAAAGAUUUAGAAAUUUGGUCAAAUUUGAAGCUUUCACUGCUAGGACGUAUUGCUGCGAUAAAAAUGAAUGUAUUGCCUAGAAUGUUGUUUUUGUUUCAAACAUUGCAAAUUUUGGACAAAAUGGAUUGCUUCAAGAAGUGGCAGAGAGAUAUUUCUAGAUUUGUCUGGCAGGGCAAGAAGCCUAGAAUAAAAUUUAAAAUACUAACGGACGCAAAGGAAAGAGGUGGAUUUGCCCUGCCAGACCUUAAACUUUAUUAUGAAUCAGCAGCUUUUUGCUGGCUGAAAGAGUGGCUACUUCUUGAAAACACAGACAUUUUGGAUUUAGAAGGUUUUAAUAAUGUAUUUGGAUGGCAUUUAAAAAUCAUAUUGUCAGGAAAGCAUUGUUUAAUGUCUGGAUAAGAUACAAGGACCUACUUGAAAAUAAAACCCCAAGGUGGUUGUCACCGAUGGAAGCGAAGGCUCUGAAAAAGCUCAAUAUGGAGGCCAAAUGGCCGAAAUAUUGGGAAAUUUUGGAACAAGAGGGAGAUAAAUUGAAACUGCAGAGUUUUGAAAAACUAAAAAAUAAAGUGCGAGAUUGGCUUCAUUAUUAUCAGAUAAUGGAGGCAUAUAAUUUGGAUAAGAAAAUUGGCUUCCAGGUGGAAAAAUCAAAAUUGGAAACAGAACUGUUAGAUUCCAAAACCAAGAUUUUGUCAAAGAUGUAUAACUUGCUGUUGAAAUGGAAUACUCAGGAUGAAACGGUGAAAUCUGCUAUGAUUAAAUGGGCACAAGAUGUUGGACAUAACAUAAUGAUGGCUGACUGGGAACAGUUAUGGACCACAGGUAUGAAGUUUACGGCAUGUAAUGCCUUAAGAGAGAAUAUAAUGAAAAUGAUCUACAGGUGGUACAUGACACCAGUCAAGCUUGCAAAAAUCUAUCAUUUGCCCAAUAAUAAAUGUUGGAAAUGUAAAGAAACUGAAGGUACAUUCUUUCACCUUUGGUGGACGUGCCCAAGGAUUAAGGCUUUCUGGGAGAUGAUCUAUAAUGAAAUGAAAAAGGUAUUUAAAUAUACCUUCCUGAAGAAACCAGAGGCCUUUCUCCUGGGCAUAAUUGGCUAAUUGGUGCCAAAGAAGGACAGAACUUUCUUUAUGUAUGCCACAACAGCAGCAAGAAUUCUUAUUGCAAAGUACUGGAAGACACAAGAUUUACCCACUCUGGAAGAAUGGCAGAUGAAGGUGAUGGACUAUAUGGAACUGGCGGAAAUGACUGGCAGAAUCCGAGACCAGGGAGAAGAGUUGGUGGAAGAAGAUUGGAAGAAAUUUAAAGACUAUCUACAGAAAUACUGCAAAAUUAAUGAAUGUUAGAAUGAUGUUGGAUUGAAGUUAAAUGGUUUCUAGCAGCAAUGUUAUAAAGGAAUAUGUAAAAAUGGAUUGUUAACAGGUGAUAAUCUAAAGUUACAAUAUAUUAAGAUAAAAGAUUAAGAUAGAAUCAAAGAGGGAAAGGAUUUGCUGAAUUAACUAAUUUGAACUGGAAUACAAAAAAGGGAGGUGUGAGGAGGUCGGGGAAACAAGCAAAUGAAAGAUAAGAUAUGGAAAGACUAAUCUGUCUUUUAACUGUUUUUAUUUUGUAUUUUCAUUUUCUAUUUGUUUUCUCUUUUUUUUUCUUUUUUCGCUUAUUUUUGUAAUAUGCUGAAACUUUAAUAAAUAUCUUAUAAAAAUAUAUAUAUAUCUAGGGGUCGUAAUAGGCCAUAAUGGGUCCAGUGGGCAAGAAGGUGGUUUCUGCACAUAGUGCAGAGGGAAGUGAGGGGCAGAUGGGGAUCAUCAACCUUGGAAAGUAUUCCAUCUAGGAGAAGGAAAACUCUCCAUCGCAAGGAAACACAGGACAAUUUUGAUUAACAAAAGACUAGGAAACGAAUUUGUAUCUUCAGAU